rnacentral:lncRNA from 1 species
AGAAAGAGAGAAAUAAUUUUGAAGGAAGAGAAAAAUUUAGAGGAAGAAUGAUUUAGAUUUGAAUUGUGGAGACCGAAGAUCCAAAAGAACAGGCAUGCAAUAGUCAUCUUCAGGUAUUUCUUUCAUCGUUUUGGCAAGUCUUGGAGUGGUUUUUGGCAGUCAGAAUAACGAUCAAGAAGAAAAAGAAGAAGAUUUAGAAAUGGCUUCAAAAGCUGUUGUUCAAGAACAACCCAGAGGCAACAAUAGUAAGUGAAAAUAAUCCAAUUUUAUAACACCGAUCAUAGUUUCAUUCUCUACUAUUUCCUUUUUAAUGGAUAAUUGAGGGUCUCUUAUGGUGAUUUGGACUGAUUUUUGAAGGGAUUAUUGAUCAAUUUUGGGAUGCACUAUUUUUUCUUUCUUUACGUUGAUUAAUUACUGCUGCAGACCAAUCAGACCAAAAGAUUAAUAUCAAUUAAGUUAGGUUAUUUAAGUAUAAUAUGAUAAGGACAGCAUUGCAAGAUUAGCUGACCCUUCUUAGUUGAUACUGGAUAAGUGGUGUCAUUCUAUUAUGUGGUGGGAGUUUUGAGUCAAGUGUUUCAUUUUUAGAGUUACAGCAGGCAUAUUGGGAUGGCUGAUUAAUGAGUAUUUUUUUAGUGUUUCAUCAAUAUGCUCAAGUUGGGAUGGCUGAUUAAUGGUCAAUAAUUUUUAGUGUUUCAUCAAUCUGCUAAAUUUGUAAUGAGUAUUCUAUUGUAACUUUUUUCCGGGAACAUUAUCUCUAUCCUCUUUUUCAUGGAAGAAUGCUUCUCUUUAGAAGUUCAUGCUAUAAAUGUAAGCCAUUGUUGAAUAAUACUUCGCUCAUCUCUCUUAUCACUUCAUGUCUGUUAAAUAGGUAGAGUAAUACACUUAAAUCUGGAGGCGGCUAAAUUAUCGGACAUGGGAUGGAUGAUUGUUGUGAUGUGGUCGAGGCUGAAAAUUUGACUAAUAUCGGUAUGUUGUGAUUGUU